GUUGGGGUAGGAACGACUGGGUUACUGUCCACCGGAACGGAAUGUGAACGGUGGAAGAAGGCUUUGGCCGCCUUGUGGUUCCGCAUUCACCACU
rfam:Lactobacillus coleohominis DSM 14060 Scaffold150, whole genome shotgun sequence.